AAGCCAGACUCCUACGGGAGGCAGCAGUGGGGAAUAUUGCGCAAUGGGCGAAAGCCUGACGCAGCGACGCCGCGUGAGGGAUGAAGGUCUUCGGAUCGUAAACCUCUGUCAGCAGGGAAGAACGGUCACUGUGCUAAUCAGCAGUGAAUUGACGGUACCUGCAAAGGAAGCACCGGCUAACUCCGUGCCAGCAGCCGCGGUAAUACGGAGGAUGCGAGCGUUAUCCGGAUUUAUUGGGUUUAAAGGGUGCGGAGGCGGAUUUUUAAGUCAGGGGUAAAAUGUCCGGGCUCAACCCGGGCCGGCCGUUGAAACUGGGGAUCUUGAGUGGGCGAGAAGUAUGCGGAAUGCGUGGUGUAGCGGUGAAAUGCAUAGAUAUCGCGCAGAACCCCGAUUGCGAAGGCAGCGUGCCGUGCCGCCACUGACGCUGAGGCACGAAAGCGCGGGGAUCGAACAGGAUUAGAUACCCGAGUAAU
rnacentral:rRNA from 1 species